CCUACGGGUGACAGCAGUGGGGAAUAUUGCGCAAUGGGCGAAAGCCUGACGCAGCGACGCCGCGUGAGGGAUGAAGGUCUUCGGAUCGUAAACCUCUGUCAGCAGGGAAGAACGGUCACUGUGCUAAUCAGCAGUGCAUUGACGGUACCUGCAAAGGCAGCACCGGCUAACUCCGUGCCAGCAGCCGCGGUAAUACGGAGGGUGCGAGCGUUAAUCGGAAUUACUGGGCGUAAAGCGCUCGUAGGCGGUAUGUCAAGUCAAGGGUGAAAUCCCCGCGCUCAACGUGGGAACUGCCGUUGAAACUGGCAAACUGGAGUGUGUGAGAGGAUAGUGGAAUUCGAGGUGUAGGAGUGAAAUCCGUAGAUAUCUGGAGGAACAUCAGUGGCGAAGGCGACUAUCUGGCACAUAACUGACGCUGAGGAGCGAAAGCGUGGGUAGCAAACAGGAUUAGAUACCCCAGUAGUC
rnacentral:rRNA from 1 species